rnacentral:rRNA from 1 species
AGGAGGAAUNCAAUGACGUGUACCUGAAGAAUAAGCAUCGGCUAACUCCGUGCCAGCAGCCGCGGUAAGACGGAGGAUGCAAGUGUUAUCCGGAAUCACUGGGCGUAAAGCGUCUGUAGGUGGUUUAAUAAGUCAACUGUUAAAUCUUGAGGCUCAACCUCAAAAUCGCAGUCGAAACUAUUAGACUAGAGUAUAGUAGAGGUAAAGGGAAUUUCCAGUGGAGCGGUGAAAUGCGUAGAUAUUGGAAAGAACACCGAUGGCGAAAGCACUUUACUGGGCUAUUACUAACACUCAGAGACGAAAGCUAGGGUAGCAAAUGGGAUUAGAUACCCCAGUAGUCCUAGCCGUAAACAAUGGAUACUAGAUGUUGAACAGAUCGACCUGUGCAGUAUCAAAGCAAACGCGUUAAG